GUUGGGCCUGCUCGGUGAGAAGAAAAAUUUAACAGCUGCGGUAUUAUAACUGUACUAAGGUAGCAUAAUAAUUUGCCUUAUAAAUUAAGGCUAGAAUGAAUGGUUUGACGAAAAUUAGACUGUCUUUAUUUUAUUUGUUAGAAAUUAAUUUUUAUAGUGAAAAAGCUUGAAUAAUUUAAGGGGACGAGAAGACCCUAUUGAGCUUUGUUUAUUAAUAUUUAAAUAUAAAUAUAUAAUUUAUAUUAUGAAAAUUAUGUUGUAUAUGUAUAUAUAUUUAAUUGGAUUUAAUUUUGAUUGGGGUGAUCAAGGAAUAAAGAUAAAGUAACUUCCUUAAAAUUAAUGAUUGUUUUUAUGGAGUAAUAAACCAAGUUUUUUGCUUAUAAGAUAAGUUACCAUAGGGGUAACAGCGUAAUUUUUUUUGAGAGUUCAUAUUGAAAAAAGAGAUUGCGACCUCGAUGUUGGAUUAAAAAUUACCUUAAGG
rnacentral:rRNA from 1 species